rnacentral:rRNA from 1 species
UUCGGGUUGUAAACCGCUUUCAGCAGGGACGAAAUUGACGGUACCUGCAGAAGAAGCCCCGGCCAACUACGUGCCAGCAGCCGCGGUAAUACGUAGGGGGCAAGCGUUGUCCGGAUUUAUUGGGCGUAAAGAGCUCGUAGGCGGUUUGGUAAGUCGGGUGUGAAAUCUCCAGGCUCAACCUGGAGGGGUCAUUCGAUACUGCCAUGACUAGAGGUCGGUAGGGGUGUGUGGAAUUCCUGGUGGAGCGGUGAAAUGCGCAGAUAUCAGGAGGAACACCCGUAGCGAAGGCGGCACACUGGGCCGAUACUGACGCUGAGGAGCGAAAGCGUGGGGAGCGAACAGGAUUAGAUACCCUGGUAGUCCACGCCGUAAACGUUGGGCACUAGGUGUGGGACUCUAUCGACGGGUUCCGUGCCGUAGCUAACGCAUUAAGUGCCCCGCCUGGGGAGUACGGCCGCAAGGCUAAAACUCAAAGGAAUUGACGGGGGCCCGCACAAGCGGCGGAGCGUGUGGCUUAAUUCGAUGCGACGCGAAGAACCUUACCUGGGUUUGACAUUUGGGGAAAAGCCGUAGAGAUACGGUGUCCUUCGGGGUCCCAAACAGGUGGUGCAUGGCUGUCGUCAGCUC